rnacentral:rRNA from 1 species
AUUGAACGCUGGCGGAAUGCUUUACACAUGCAAGUCGAACGGUAGAGGGGCAACCCCUUGAGAGUGGCGAACGGGUGAGUAAUACAUCGGAACAUGCCCAGUCGUGGGGGAUAACGUAGCGAAAGCUACGCUAAUACCGCAUACGAUCUAUGGAUGAAAGCGGGGGACCGAAAGGCCUCGCGCGAUUGGAGUGGCCGAUGGCAGAUUAGGUAGUUGGUGGGGUAAAGGCCUACCAAGCCUGCGAUCUGUAGCUGGUCUGAGAGGACGACCAGCCACACUGGGACUGGGCCACGGCCCAGACUCCUACGGGAGGCAGCAGUGGGGAAUUUUGGACAAUGGGCGCAAGCCUGAUCCAGCCAUUCCGCGUGCAGGAUGAAGGCCCUCGGGUUGUAAACUGCUUUUGUACGGAACGAAAAGGUGGCCUCUAAUACAGGUUGCUGAUGACGGUACCGUAAGAAUAAGCACCGGCUAACUACGUGCCAGCAGCCGCCGCCG